rnacentral:rRNA from 1 species
CCUACGGGAGGCAGCAGUGGGGAAUAUUGCACAAUGGGGGAAACCCUGAUGCAGCGACGCCGCGUGAGCGAUGAAGUAUUUCGGUAUGUAAAGCUCUAUCAGCAGGGAAGAAACUGACGGUACCUGACUAAGAAGCCCCGGCUAACUACGUGCCAGCAGCCGCGGUAAUACGUAGGGGGCCAGCGUUAUCCGGAUUUACGGGGCGUAAGGGGAGCGUAGGCGGCGAUGCAAGCCAGAUGGGAAAGCCCGGGGCUCAACCCCGGGACUGCAUUUGGAACUGGAUAGCUGGAGUGUCGGAGAGGCAGGCGGAAUUCCUAGUGUAGCGGUGAAAUGCGUAGAUAUUAGGAGGAACACCAGUGGCGAAGGCGGCCUGCUGGACGAUGACUGACGUUGAGGCUCGAAAGCGUGGGGAGCAAACAGGAUUAGAUACCCCUGUAGUC